CUGUGGCUGUUUGUGUGUGUGUAGGUGCCAUUCGCAAACAGCUGUCAGCCUACCUGGAGGGUUUCUAUGAGAUCAUUCCCAAGCGGCUCAUCUCUAUCUUCACUGAGCAGGAGCUGGAGCUGCUCAUCUCUGGCCUGCCGGUCAUCGACAUCGACGACCUGAAGGCCAACACAGAGUACCACAAGUACCAGGCCAGCUCCAUACAGAUCCAGUGGUUCUGGCGUGCCCUGCGCUCCUUCGACCAAGCCGACCGGGCCAAAUUCCUGCAGUUUGUCACGGGCACGUCCAAGGUGCCCCUGCAGGGCUUCGCCGCUCUGGAGGGCAUGAACGGCAUCCAGAAGUUCCAAAUUCACCGUGACGACCGCUCCACUGACCGCCUGCCCUCUGCGCACACUUGCUUUAAUCAGCUGGACCUUCCAGCAUACGAGAGCUACGAGAAGCUGAGACACAUGCUGCUGAUGGCCAUUCAGGAAUGCUCAGAGGGCUUCGGACUGGCCUAGAGACUUUCCUUACACACGUACACAUACACACACACAUGCAUUCACAGACACACACACAAACAUCAUACACAUGUACUGACACACACACACACACAGGUUUAGACUCAUAUUGUUAACUUAUGACACAGAACACACAUGCAUAUUCACACUAUCGUAGACAUGGCCAAGAUCUAUUUGUUUGUAAUACAUAUAAACCAGACGGCAUUGGAGAGAUGAUGCAAGCGAAUAAGAGCGACUUAUUGACAUUUGCCUACUACACACAGAGCCUCACACAGACACACAGAACUGUAUUUGGUAUGUUUGUGUGUCUCCCUUUCCCUAUUAAAUUGCAAAACCUGAGAGACGAUAUGGAGGAUAAUACUUGGACUAAUAUGAGAAGAAGAAAAAAAAAAAGAAAAAAAAAUAUGUUUCUCCAUUUAGUUUUUCUCUGUACAAAAGGUUUGGGAGUUUAUUAUGUUUAAUCUUUUUUUUUUUUUUUUUUUUUUUUUUUCCUUUUGGCUGUGUAAAAAAAAAAUGACAAAAAAGACAAAAGGUUGUGCGUGUGAAAGGAUGGAUAUAAAACACUUGGGGGAAAACCGCUGAUUGUCCUCUGCUAAUUUGUGACCUCAUGGUGAGCUUGGAACAGGGGAUAGUCAGUGUGUGGUGCGGAACAGGAGAUGCGAAUGCAGGGACUUUUCAAAGGGUGACAUUUUUAAGGCAACUUCUGUGGUAUUUUUGGGGGGGGGGGGGGGGGGGGGAUUAUGCAGAGAUAAAGGAUAACAAGUGAAGGAUUACGGUUGGGGUGGGGUGUUUGGGUAGGGGGGAAACCACAGGCAUUCUGACUGAAAUGUGGUCAAUCCAACAGCUGAAACCAGCCUCUCCGCAAAAGAGAUCAGAGAAUAAAUUGCUACUUAAAUAAAUGCAUAAAUCGAGUUGGCUGUGUGUUUUACAGUUGUUUCCAUCUGUCCUUGGAAGAAUGCUGUGUUUGUAACCUUUUUUUUCCAGUCCAUUUAGCUGGGUGUCUGUACAUACACGGAGUAUCGUUAUUGCAAAAGCUUCAACAUUUUUUUCCAGGUGAAUAAACCAGCUUUGUGUUUGG
ensembl:lncRNA